AGUGAACGCUGGCGGUAGGCCUAACACAUGCAAGUCGAACGGCAGCACAGUAAGAGCUUGCUCUUACGGGUGGCGAGUGGCGGACGGGUGAGGAAUACAUCGGAAUCUACUUUUUCGUGGGGGAUAACGUAGGGAGACUUACGCUAAUACCGCAUACGACCUACGGGUGAAAGCAGGGGAUCUUCGGACCUUGCGCGAUUGAAUGAGCCGAUGUCGGAUUAGCUAGUUGGCGGGGUAAAGGCCCACCAAGGCGACGAUCCGUAGCUGGUCUGCGAGGAUGAUCAGCCACACUGGAACUGAGACACGGUCCAGACCCCUACGGGAGGCAGCAGUGGGGAAUAUUGGACAAUGGGCGCAAGCCUGAUCCAGCCAUACCGCGUGGGUGAAGAAGGCCUUCGGGUUGUAAAGCCCUUUUGUUGGGAAAGAAAAGCAGCAGGUUAAUACCCCGCUGUUCUGACGGUACCCAAAGAAUAAGCACCGGCUAACUUCGUG
rnacentral:rRNA from 1 species